rnacentral:rRNA from 1 species
UACAGAGGUCCCAAGCGUUACUGAGAAUCACUGGGUUUAAAGGGUGCGUAGGUGGUCCGUUAAGUCAGUUGUGAAAUUCCCGGGCUCAACCCGGGAACUGCUUCUGAUACUGGCGGACUUGAGGCCAGUAGGGGUCACUAGAACUGACGGUGGAGCGGUGAAAUGCGUAGAUAUCGUCAGGAAUGCCGGUGGUGAAGACGGGUGACUGGGCUGGUUCUGACACUGAGGCACGAAAGCGUGGGGAGCGAACGGG